AUUGAACGCUGGCGGCAGGCCUAACACAUGCAAGUCGAGCGAGCGGCGGACGGGGGAGUAAUGUCUGGGAAAAUGCCUGAUGGAGGGGGAGAACUACUGUAAACGGUAGCUAAUAUCGCAUAUCCUCAGAUGUGCCCAGAAGGGAGUAGCUGGUAGGUGGGGUAACGGCUCACCUAGGCGACGAUCCCUAGCUGGUCUGAGAGGAUGACCAGCAACACUGGAACUGAGACACGGUCCAGACUCCUACGGGAGGCAGCCGUGGGGAAUAUUGCACAAUGGGCGCAAGCCUGAUGCAGCCAUGCCGCGUGUGUGAAGAAGGCCUUCGGUUUGUAAAGCACUUUCAGCGGGGAGGCGUUACCCGCAGAAGAAGCACCGGCUAACUCCGUGCCAGCAGCCGCGGUAAUAC
rnacentral:rRNA from 1 species